AAGGCAAACAAUUUAUUUAUAUACAGAAAUCCUUUUCACCAACAUGUGCUUGUGAGAGUUUCCAUCAUUAAAGUGAAAUCAAGAAAAGAACUUUUGGGUUGCAAUAGAGCUAUCGCCUAGUGGACUCCAUGAUCAUUUAACAGCGCAAUAGCCUCCCACUGCAUUCUCGCUACACAUUUGACAUGCUUGAAAUAGACAUCC
rnacentral:lncRNA from 1 species